AUGUACCACUCGUACACUCCGGUUCCUGUGCGCCGUCCGCACCCACCUGACAACUGCUCGCUACGUUUUGUUAGCC
rnacentral:sRNA from 1 species